rnacentral:lncRNA from 1 species
AUAUAGUUACAGCAGUUAAUAAUUAAAGAGGGAACUAGAUCAAAGAAAAACAUUUAAAAAACAAACUAAUUGUACAAAGUACAUAUUAGACCAAACUAUUGAGAUUUACCCCUAGAAUGAUUUUGACAUGUCAUUAUAUUCCAACACUAAUGAAAGAAAUGUCAUAUCUACAUUCUUGAGUGUUACGUAAUAUAUUAGAUUUAUUAAUAACAAGACAAGUACAAACCAGGCGAGGCUCUUCAACAGUUUUAAAACAUUGUAGUGGUCCACAUUUUCAGUGACAUGCCCAAAAUAACUCAAAGUAAAUAUCAUCCCGGUCCUGGUGAAUUUAAAUUUAAAUAUAGUUAAUAAUUAAAGAGGGAACUAUGAUCAAAUAAAACAUUUAAAAAUUAAAAAAUUGUACAAUAGGAAAGUUGUUGUUUCUUUUAGUUAUUUUCAGUAUAAAAAUUUGACUGAUAAAUAGUGUGCAAGUGUGAAUACAUCAUGAAUUGAUGUCUGUGAGAACCUAUAAGUGUUAAAUAAUAGUAACUUGAAAUAAUAGUAAUAAUAAUAAUAAUUAUAGUAACUUGAAAGAUAAAGGCCCUAGCUUCCAUCAAAUCAGCUGUUAACCAGAGGUAGCCGACAGCUAGGGUUUUGGUACUGUCGGAGGUGUAGCUGAUCCAAAUCAGCUGUCAAAUCGGUAAGCAGCAGCUCUUCAUCACGAAAAGUACACCGGCCCUACUCGUGUUACAAGUUCACAACGAGGCAAGUGUGUAGGUUAUAUAGAAAAUAUUUGACGCUCAAUUUUGUAAAAUCAUUAAAAUGAUUAUCAUUAUCAACCUAAUCGAGGUGUUGAUUACAUCUCGCAUUCCAGUGUUCCAACAAGGCUACAUGGGAUUUCUGUUAAUGCGUCUUCGUGCAGCCAAUGUCCGCUUUAGGUCAAUUUAAACAGCUCUUCAUUUUUUUAUUUAACUAGGCAAGUCUUAUAAAUAAGAAUUUGUUCUUAACUGACUUGCCUAGUUAAAAUAAAAUAGACAGAGCUAUGCAUGCAAAUACUGACCAUCCAUGAUAUCAGAAUUAUAGUUUUAAUAAUGUUUUAAAAUUAUACAGUGUUUGUUAGCAUUGUUUAGAAACAUUGGAGUAAAACAAGUUUAUAUUUUGGGUUCUGAUGAGGUAGGACAGUUGAGCUAAACUCAUGAGGCAUUCAUAUGUUAUAUUCUUCUAGAAUCAAUGGGAAGAUAUAAUUUAUAAGUCAAAAAAUGGGUGUAGCAACUAAAAGCUAGAAUCCUAUGAGAGAUGGGAAACCGUUGAUUGGUUAAACCAAUGCCACAGCAGCUAUGUCCCAGGCUAUUGGUUAGCCAGCAGCUAGCAGAGCCACAGCAGCUAUCAGAGCCACAGCAGCUAGCAGAGCCACAGCAGCUAUGCCCCAGGCUAUUAGCUAGCCUAGCAGCUGUACCAUUAACAGAGCCAAAGCAGCCAGAGCGAAGGCAGUGGGUCGGGGAGCACUUCCUGACAC